CCAAUAGCGUAUAUUAAAGUUGUUGCAGUUAAAAAGCUCGUAGUUGAAUUUCGAGACCGGUUUAUUGGUCGUGCUUUUGUACGUACUGGUACUAUUGGUUUCUCCUUUCUGACGAAUCAUAAUGCCAUUAAUUUGGUGUUUUGGGGAAUCAGGACUGUUACUUUGAAAAAAUUAGAGUGUUUAAAGCAGGCUCACGCUUG
rnacentral:rRNA from 1 species